CUACAAUACAGUGCAAACACAUCAGCCGUCUAAUUAGGAGAGAACAUUGCGAAGUUCACACACAGGACCUGCUGGAGUCACAAUAGAAUGGAACAGAAGAGCUGCUCAAUUACGGUGAUUUAUAUAGAAUCUACGUAGCCCGAUGUGAAUCUUCCCAGAACUGUUACCCACACGUCGCAGCGAUGCAGACCGUAGUUAUAAAAGCUACCGACGGCGUACGAUCGACGCAGAGGAUACGUAUCACACACUCAGGACCUGUUAAGCUGUUGCGCUUGACUCAGCAG